GGCGAACUCUCCACCAGUGGUGGUAAAUACAGACACACUGGAUGGCUCACCGUAUGUCAAUGGAGCAGAAGGAGAGAUCGAAUAUGAAGAGAUCACGUUGGAAAGGGGGAACUCUGGGCUAGGCUUCAGUAUCGCCGGAGGGACUGAUAACCCUCAUGUCGGAGACGACCCCAGCAUCUUCAUCACCAAGAUCAUUCCAGGAGGAGCCGCCGCACAAGACGGGAGACUC